rnacentral:rRNA from 1 species
AGGGAAUCUUCCGCAAUGGACGAAAGUCUGACGGAGCAACGCCGCGUGAGUGAUGAAGGUUUUCGGAUCGUAAAGCUCUGUUGCCAGGGAAGAACGUCUUCUGGAGUAACUGCCAGGAGAGUGACGGUACCUGAGAAGAAGGCCCCGGCUAACUACGUGCCAGCAGCCGCGGUAAUACGUAUGGGGCAAGCGUUGUCCGGAAUUAUUGGGCGUAAAGCGCGCGCAGGCGGCUGUUUAAGUCUGGUGUGUAAGCCUGGGGCUCAACCCCGGGGCGCACUGGAAACUGGACGGCUUGAGUGCAGAAGAGGAGAGUGGAAUUCCACGUGUAGCGGUGAAAUGCGUAGAGAUGUGGAGGAACACCAGUGGCGAAGGCGACUCUCUGGGCUGUAACUGACGCUGAGGCGCGAAAGCGUGGGGAGCAAAC